rnacentral:rRNA from 1 species
UACGGGGGGGCGGAAGCGUUGUUCGGUAAUUACUGGGCGUAAAGGGCUCGUAGGCGGCCAACUAAGUCGGAUGUGAAAUCCCCAGGCUUAACCUGGGAACUGCAUCCGAUACUGGAUGGCUUGAAUUCGGGAGAGGGAUGCAGAAUUCCAGGUGUAGCGGUGAAAUGCGUAGAUAUCUGGAGGAAUACCGGUGGCGAAGGCGGCAUCCUGGACCGACAUUGACGCUGAGGAGCGAAAGCUAGGGGAGCAAACGGG